AGGGGGAAAAAACCUGUAUGAGAAUCUGAUUCAACAUUCAAUCUUUUUAAAGUCACCAACUCUAACUAUGUGCUUUCAUUUUAUAUUCACAAACUAGUUAUAAUGAAUUUUGAUAGGUUUUUUUGUCUAUAUGCAUCAUAGGGUAUAAACCUCCCUCUAAUUCUUAUAGGCAACAGAAAUUCUACUUUUAAAUGACCAGUAAAUUGUAGUGGCC